rnacentral:lncRNA from 1 species
AAAGGAUAGUUAUUGCAAAGUCAUAUGCCAAAAGAAUAGCCUGGAGAAACUACCACUUUACAGGUGUUGUUAAUAUGAUAACAAAAGGUUGAUUCCUUUUUUUUUUCUUUGUAAAUUCUAAACCUGUUAAUUCUCACACGUUUAAUAGCAAGCAAAAUGAAGCAGUAUUGAGCUCAAAUUGCUAGCUUUAGAGGUUAAUCUUUAUAAAAUCAGAAGAAAGAUUAGAGUUCCUGUUCUGAACAUCCUCAGAGACUGGUUUCAGAGACACAGGACCACUGUCUGUGUUGCUUACUCACUCUCUUUGAGGGGAAUUAUGUCCAAGACACCCCUAAACAAACCAGAAGUGAUUAAGAAGACUCUUUUGGUUAAUAGAUUAUUGUAGUAUAUUACCACAGAUGGUAGAUAUCCAAGCCUGUGAAAAAUGACAACCAAGUAGCCUUCCUUGAGCACCUCCUUUGAAGUGGGAGAGACUGGACUUUGCAUAUAGAGAGAAUGCUAAUUGUUUAGCAGGCAAAUAUGGGCUCUCUCAAGUAUGAUAUAGCUUGCAGAAGCAGAUUGUACAUCUGAAAAAUGCAGCAAAAAUAUUAAAGAAUGGGCAAUAACUUUUACUUCAUAUUUGAUAAAUCAAAUCAUUUUCUUCAUUUUCUGUGGUGUUUCAAAUGACACAGUAGACUUUAAGAACUGAGUUAUAAAACAAAGCGCAGUGAAAUAUAAUGUCAGUAUAUGGAAAAUUCAACCUAACCAAUAUUUCUGACUAGCUGAUAGAUGGUGUAUAUCUGACAGAAUACUUAAAUGUAGAAUGUCUGAGGUAUUAUAGGAAUCAGUGAUAUGGAAUGGUUUCACUCAAUAUUCACAGAAUAUGUAUUUUGCAUCAUGAAGCUAUUAAAAAACAGGUUUUAAACAUUUAUGUACUUAUUUAUUACAUACUGUUACUUUGUAGAAAGCAGAACAUCAUUUCUUAUCAAGGUACAUUAUACUCAGUGAGCUUUUUCUUGGAUGGACUAGUAACCACGCAGUCUUAAAUCACUAAAGAGACUGUAUUUUUGUAUAUUGUCAGUUGAACUAUGAAGAAAAAAAGACUCCCCAUUAUUAAAAUUUUCAUGAAACUGAAUGUUUUGCAUACCCAAAUGAAGGUACUGUGGACCCCAUGUCAAACCAUUAAAUAUAUUGUAUACAGUCUG